CACGUAGGGCGCAAGCGUUGUCCGGAAUUAUUGGGCGUAAAGAGCUCGUAGGCGGUCUGUUGCGUCCGCUGUGAAAACUCGGGGCUUAACCCCGAGCCUGCAGUGGAUACGGGCAGACUAGAGGUAGGUAGGGGAGAAUGGAAUUCCCGGUGUAGCGGUGAAAUGCGCAGAUAUCGGGAGGAACACCGGUGGCGAAGGCAGCUCGCUGGGACGGUACUGACGCUGAGACGCGAAAGCGUGGGGAGCAAACAGG
rnacentral:rRNA from 1 species